GUCCUCAUCAUAACGUCCUUACUAAUAUAAUAAAUUUUGUUCUAUUAAUAGAACCUACAUAUACCAAAAAUCAUCUUUUCACUUACAAGGAAAGAAGAAAUUAAAUCAAUUAAAUCUCUAUUGACUUUUAGCAAAAUCAACCUUUCGGAAACAAAAAGUUAUGUCAUACUAUAAUAUAUAGCUUUGUUGGUCUACAUUUUAAAAAUCAUAGUCUACGGUCUUGGAAGAUAGAUAUUAAUCAAAUAUAAACUAGGUUACAACAUAAGAAGGGCAUAAGAUAUAUAGUAGUUUACGAGGUCAAAAAAUUCAUCUCCAUGUUUUUUAAUAGUUUUUGUUUGUUCAUUUCUGUCUUUUAUGUUAACUAGAUACGAGACAUAAGAUUUGUUAAAGUUGAAGUUAUAUAAUAUUGUAAGUUUAUGUCUAAUUCAAAUGAACUAAUGAAACAAACGCCCUGAACUAUUCUAAAACGCAGGCGGUUCCAACUCACAGCGUUGCGGCUGGACUAGGAGCGAUAGAAGGAGUAGUGAUGGAGACCAUCAUCACCUUCGCUUUGGUCUACACCGUCUACGCCACCGCCGCUGAUCCCAAGAAAGGAUCUCUUGGAACCAUCGCUCCUCUCGCCAUUGGUCUCAUCGUCGGUGCCAACAUCCUCGCUGCUGGUCCAUUCUCCGGUGGAUCCAUGAACCCAGCAC
rnacentral:lncRNA from 1 species